CCACCAAGCCUAUAACCGGUACGGGCUUUGAGAGAAGGAGCCCGGAGAUGGACACUGAGAAAAGGGUCCAGGCCCUACGGGGCGCAGCAGGCGCGAAACCUUCGCAAUGCACGAAAGUGCGACGAGGCUAUUUCGAGUGUUGUCCGCUGAGGAUAACUUUUGCCAAGUCUAAAUAGCUUGGAGAAUAAGGGGAGGGCAAGUCUGGUGUCAGCCGCCGCGGUAAUACCAGCUCCCCGAGUGGUCGGGACGAUUAUUGGGCCUAAAGCAUCCGUAGCCUGCUCUGUAGGUCUUCUGUUAAAUUCAACAGCUUAACUGUUGAGCUGCAGGAGAUACCGCGGGGCUAGGAGGCGGGAGAGGUAGACGGUACUCCAUGGGUAGGGGUAAAAUCCUCUGAUCCUUGGAAGACCACCAGUGGCGAAGGCGGUCUACCAGAACGCGCUCGACGGUGAGGGAUGAAAGCUGGGGGAGCGAACCGGAUUAGAUACCCGGGUAGUCCCAGCUGUAAACGAUGCGAGCUAGGUGAUGGAGUGGUUCCGUACCAUUCCAGUGCCGCAGGGAAGCCGUUAAGCUCGCCGCCUGGGGAGUACGGUCGCAAGGCUGAAACUUAAAGGAAUUGGCGGGGGAGCACAAGGGCGAAUCGCGCCGCCUAU
rnacentral:rRNA from 1 species